UUCUUUUACUGAUAUACUGAUUUCAGUCUCAACUACAGCUGUUGCACGAAGGAGGAAGAUUAAAGAAGCUUCUGCCCCAAAAGAGUCUGAGACAUCUAAAAGCGACAAACCAAACGAAAGUGAUUCGAUCGUCACGGAUAAGAAGCCCACGAGCUCGAAACCCCCAACGGGUUCGAAGCGUAAAGCUUCUUCGACCAAUGCCUCAGAUGGUGAAGACAAAUCUCCUCCUCAAACUAGACAAGGACAUAAAAAGAAACACAAAGCUGUUACCCCUUCAAGAAAAGGGAAAAAGGCAAGUCCUUCAAAAGCUGCUUCUCCUGGCAAUAAGGCGUCUUCUGAAGAGUCUCCUUUGAAGACUGCCAGCAAUGCUCUUGUUUUGGAAAGUCAUAACUCAAGCCCAGACAAUAAUCCACCCAAGGAUGAUGCUGGCACUGCUACUUCUGGUUUCAAAGACCCUGGCCUCACCAUUGAUGUUGAUAAACUUUAUGGUAAUUGUUAAAUUUCAUCUUUCGUCAAUUAAAACUUUCGAAGGCUUAACCUCACGAUUAACUUGGCUUCGUUCGAAACAGAUACUUCUCAAGCUAGAACCCAUGUUCUCUCACCAGUCUUCGAAGACGUUAGGCCAAUUGCCACUAUAUUGUCUAAUGAGCCAAUCGAAGAAAGCCAAUCUACUGACGAAUCCCCACCUACUCAUCAAGGCAAAGAUUUGGAAGAGGAUCAUCCGUUCUCCGGCAGCGACAAUGUGAACCAGCAAUCACAUGGCAACGAAGAUUCUGCAUCGGAGAAAGAUGCCAUGGAGGAGAUUUCUCAACCAGAAAGACCAAUCUCUCAAGGAACUUCGACUCCCGAUGUAGAAACUAUUCCUGAGACAACUUCGACGCCUGCCCCUACGAAGCCUACUCCUUCGGAGCUUGAACAAC